UAUAAAAGUAAUUAGCGCCACAAUAAACAACUUGUCGUUCCAUAGCUCUGCAAAAGGAGAAUGGGUGUAACCUCGUGGAUUUUCGGUUUGAAGAAUAUCGUAAGCGAAAUAAGCGCCAACCAAAGCACACAGUCCGGCCGAUAUACCACUCCACCCGCUUAAGCUUAUAAAACGGCUGCUUCGCUCCAUCAUUUGCCUUAUGUCUUUCAGCGUUUCAAGGUGUUGCUCAUUUUGAAGCAUAAAAAGUACUUUGUAAUUCAAAGUAACAACGUUUUCUUAUCAUCCAAAUUAAUUUUAAAACCUUUAAAGCUUGCGACUUUUGUCUACUAUCCUAAUAUGUAUUUAUCGGGGAAAAGCUUCACUUACUUUAUCAAUACUCGUUAUUAUUACAUUGCAUACAUGCUUUAUUUCACUUUCA
rnacentral:misc_RNA from 1 species